rnacentral:rRNA from 1 species
UCUGGUUGAUCCUGCCAGUAGUCAUAUGCUUGUCUCAAAGAUUAAGCCAUGCAUGUCUAAGUAUAAGCAAUUUAUACAGUGAAACUGCGAAUGGCUCAUUAAAUCAGUUAUCGUUUAUUUGAUAGUUCCUUUACUACAUGGUAUAACUGUGGUAAUUCUAGAGCUAAUACAUGCUUAAAAUCUCGACCCUUUGGAAGAGAUGUAUUUAUUAGAUAAAAAAUCAAUGUCUUCGGACUCUUUGAUGAUUCAUAAUAACUUUUCGAAUCGCAUGGCCUUGUGCUGGCGAUGGUUCAUUCAAAUUUCUGCCCUAUCAACUUUCGAUGGUAGGAUAGUGGCCUACCAUGGUUUCAACGGGUAACGGGGAAUAAGGGUUCGAUUCCGGAGAGGGAGCCUGAGAAACGGCUACCACAUCCAAGGAAGGCAGCAGGCGCGCAAAUUACCCAAUCCUAAUUCAGGGAGGUAGUGACAAUAAAUAACGAUACAGGGCCCAUUCGGGUCUUGUAAUUGGAAUGAGUACAAUGUAAAUACCUUAACGAGGAACAAUUGGAGGGCAAGUCUGGUGCCAGCAGCCGCGGUAAUUCCAGCUCCAAUAGCGUAUAUUAAAGUUGUUGCAGUUAAAAAGCUCGUAGUUGAACUUUGGGCCCGGUUGGCCGGUCCGAUUUUUUCGUGUACUGGAUUUCCAACGGGGCCUUUCCUUCUGGCUAACCUUGAGUCCUUGUGGCUCUUGGCGAACCAGGACUUUUACUUUGAAAAAAUUAGAGUGUUCAAAGCAGGCGUAUUGCUCGAAUAUAUUAGCAUGGAAUAAUAGAAUAGGACGUUUGGUUCUAUUUUGUUGGUUUCUAGGACCAUCGUAAUGAUUAAUAGGGACGGUCGGGGGCAUCAGUAUUCAAUUGUCAGAGGUGAAAUUCUUGGAUUUAUUGAAGACUAACUACUGCGAAAGCAUUUGCCAAGGACGUUUUCAUUAAUCAAGAACGAAAGUUAGGGGAUCGAAGAUGAUCAGAUACCGU